ensembl:snoRNA SNORA73 Small nucleolar RNA SNORA73 family
CCGACGUGGACAUCCAGCGAGGUUGCUCUCCUGGCUCUGUCCUGGUGGCGUAUGGGAGCGUAGCCUCCAGGCUGAGACGUACAGUCCCGUUCCACGUCGUCGGAGACUAAGCUCUGUCCCCGGCCGGCUGGUCGGUGAGGACGGGCGUCCUGCAUAUUCCUACAUCUUCCCAGAGUCCCUCUGGGGCCGUUACUGGGGAGCUAAACCAUGCAGUGCACAUGA